CCUAUUUCAGGCCAGGGUCGGGAGGGUUCCUAACCAGCGUGAGGGCCUUGCUUCUCAGGGACAGGUUUUAUUCUGCAGCUCUGAAUGACUCUUCCAGUCUCUAAUACCAUUGAUUUUAUUAAUUACUUUAAAUUCUAGAUGCAGGAUCCGGAGCUGACCCUGGACGUUGGCUGGGAGCUGGUGAAGGGACGCGGCAUGUCGCAGCAGCUUACAGCAGGAAGUAGCGUGCGGCAGCAGCCGGUUCCUUAACAUGGAUCUCACCUUCUGAUAUGUUGAAUUGCGUAACCCAGGCGAGCGGUGGCAGAUCUGGUCACUCCUCUCACCUCUCUCCCACUGCAGCAGGGUAUGGCUGUGGCCAGUCGCAGCCUUUAUGGCCGCCUGCUCAUGACUCCCUGUCUCGUUUGCCAUCUAAAAUCUUCCUUCUUAGCUCCCAGACACCAGGGUUACCCCAUGUACUUUCAGUCUUUGCUCCCGUUCUUUACUCAUCCCUUUUCCCAAAAUGAGCACCCAGGUUUUCCCUUGGCCAGGUCAGAUUAAACAGCACCAGGAAAAGACAUGGUUGGGAUCAGGGACUGAGCUGAACUUCAGGGGGAGGGAAGGUGUGUAAUGUAGUUAAUCAUUCACAAGCACGUCCCCUUCCCUGCCUGGUGCAGGGCCAGCUGGGAGGUUAUUGAUCUGUCAGCAAGCCGCAGGGCUCUCUGCGGAGGCGAGAUGGGGUGGUGCCUUCCAAAGCGGGGAUUGAUCGCCUCAACAUGUACACAACGAGAGGGUUGUUGCAAGCGAGGGCCCACGUCCGUGCUGAUCCCAGUCACGUCUGUCACAGGCUGACACAGGAGCAGUUAGUGCUGGGCUGAAUGUUCGCACCGUUGUGCUGGUGUGGGGUCCCUCUUUGCAUUGUUAAUGCCUCCCGGCUGUUUCGGUGGUGUGGCACAGAACUAGAGAUUGGUUUUACAUAUAUAAUUUUUAAUUCUGGGGUGACUAUACACAUGAGGAAAUUGCUAAGGAUAUAAAUGUGACAUAAAGAGUCACACCAGAUCAGUCAUACCCCUGCUGAGCUCGGUAUUGUUUUUCUCACGGUAGCCAUGGCAAAUUCUUUGGGAAGCAUGUAGAAGAGGGCCAGUGUAACAGCUUCACUACCCCAGGGUGUUCUCCCCACCUUCAGAGAUUCCUGUCUCAGAGAAUUCCUGAACCACUAGCCUGUAUUUUCUCAUCCCAGCCUAUCAUCUGGCUACAGGUUUUUGCUUGUCUGUUUUGUCCUGCCCCAUUACCCACAGGUAGCUGAAUGCCUCGCCAGGGUGCGUGAAGGUAACACACAGUCUCCUCCUGGAUUUGGGGUCCUGUAUUGUUACAGGAACAGGUAUUUUUUAGUAUUGACAAGGAAUUCCUUCCAAAUUGUCUUGACAGGGAUCUUCAGGUGUUUUGGUUUUGUUUUAAUCUUCCUUUGCAACACUGGGCGCAGUUCACUUGGGAUCAUCUGAUCUGGUCUAAUCCUCCUCUAGAAGACAGGCCUGACACCCUGCCUAGGGCAGCUUGCUGUGGACUUUGGUGGGGCCUCCUAUUGCACAGUCCCAACCUUUCGCUGUUGCAAAAUGCACUGUCAGCUUUGCAGGGGCUGGAGGACAAAGGUUCCUGACAUCAAGUAAACCACAACCUUCAUUAGCCUUCUGGAGAGGUAGAAGGGGAAGAGAAACAGGGAUUUUGUUCUUUGUUUAUUCUGUAGACUGGGAAAGGAAUGGCAGGUGAGGAAAACUGUUGUAUGAAGCCUAGCUAGCAAGAAUGAGGAACAACAGUACUUUCCCGUGCAGUGUGAUGAGGUUUUUAGUUGGUUUAGCACUGGCUGUGGUUGCAUGCUGCCUAAACCAGCUCAUCUGGCCAUUCAGGUCUGGAUGUCACUUACGGACCACGUGUCAGGAGUCCACAGCUGCACGAGCAGCCAGCACCAUGCCCUUUUCUGCCUGAAUGUAUUGAUGUGAACUGAAUGAACUGUGCAAAUCAAUAGAAGACAACCAGAAUGGAAUGCUCUGUUUUGCAAGAUUGGUUUAAAAGCGGAAACCAUUGCCGCUCUCAUCGCAGAGCGCUCUCUCCGCCAUGCCCAGGGUACAGAAGGGUCACCCUAUAGCAGAAGAUCUGGCGUUGCCGUCUGUUACAUAAACACAGCAGACCUUCCCCCGAAGGUUUGCUGACUGCAGACACUCCUCCUCUAAAAUUCAGUUAACAUCACGGUGGAACCGCCUGGGCUCAGAUUCCACAGUGAUGCUGCCUUCUCCCUCUGCACAAUUCCCUCCCCCUCCUCAUAGUACUGACUUCAGCUCUCGGGAUAUGCAUCAGCCCAGGCGAUGGGCUCCCGAGCACCAGCAGUCAGACUGCGGAGCUCUAUGGCCUGGCUGCCCCUUCCCCAGCACCUCGUCCCUGCCUGCGCUACUUGGACUUCAGAGGCACCUCUCACGGCUUCUCCAAGCUGUAGGAAGCCAAGAUCUUACCUGAGCUUGAAAAAUCCCAAGAUCUCAUGAUACAAAAGUUCCCUCCCGUGAGUUGCUAAAAGAUACUAUAUUUCUUAGCAUUUCCACAAUCUGCAUGUUCCUACCUCAGAGUUACGAGUGAGCAGGGACCAAACCUGGAUCCUGUGGAGGAUGUUUCCAUCCAGCACAUCUCUCCUCUCAGACCGACGGGCAGGAGGAGCUGCCAUUGCUCACCAUCACCAAGCAACGCCACGCUGACGGGGAUUCAAAUUGCUGCAAUGCGGAUGUGAAGGAGGCCUUUGACCCAAGGUCUCCCAUCUCUCCAGGAAGUGUUCUACCAACUGGGGAAAGCUGCGGCCACCACCCCAGCUCUGUCCCUGCGCCACCCGCCGACUACUCCCCAACAUCAGGAAUCAACAUGUACCAUUUUUUUGAGAAGUGUCAUUUACUCAGGAUUAAUCAAACUGAUAUCCACAGGCCUCUUCUGCACAGUGGCAUCCUCAAAAUGAAACUAUUGCACAGCACAUUUUAUAUUUUAGUAACCUAGAUGUUACAGGUCAAAACAUGUUCCCUAAUAGACAACAGUCUAAUGGAAGUGUGAAAUGAAAGUGACAUGAUCCCACUAUUUCAUUGCAGAACCCAAAUGAAGCUCUCCUGCCCUUCUAGGUAUGCUUCCUUGAUGAAUCUGUUCAGUUACUGGGCUUACGGCUAAAAGACAAGAGGUGCACGAGGAAAGAAGCACAAUUUUCAUGUCAAACGUGCAUCUGAAGUGCCAUAUUUAGCAAAGAUAUGGCACAAGACUCACCUCCUGCCCAAAUGAGAGCCUUAAUCGCCAGACUGCGGUGUGUGCCUCUCUCCCUCCUGUGAAUACGUGGUGACUGCCCACAGCAGAGGUUUCUCAUGGAGCAGCCCCAAAACAGCCAACGUCUUGGUUGUUCUACAUUAAGGCAGAGUCUCCAAUCUUAAAAGUGCAGGUGCUCAAGCAUUGGAAGAAAGGAUUUCUCCCUCGCCUGUUGUCAGGAUGCCUUUCUGGAAAAUCUCCCUGAGGCUGUGCCUGCCUUACAGACUCCUGCCAGACCAAGGAAAAGGUCUCUCCCAUGGCCUUGUGGCAGCAACGUCUUUAAGUACAACCGGCCUUGAUUUUGGUAGCAAAUACAACUUCAGCACCCCAGCGCAAUGACAGUUGUGCCUUCACAGCUGCAUUGGUACAAAAUGUAUUUAUUAGCACAGCACGCCGAUACACCCCCUGCAGUAAGGCAUGUCCUCUGUGACCCCAGACGACCACUGUAAAGCUGCUGCAUGGUUCAGUUGGGGAAUGCAAACUGGACCACAAUUACCAAGAGAUAAAUACAGUGAGAACCAUGGCUGCUGCAGCCUCCUUCAAUUUUCAGUCACCUUUGUGCCCAUCUUUUAGAAGGCAGAGACCAAAAUUGGACACGACACCCCACAUUGCUCCUACCAGCUGCUUUUACAGAAGAGAAAUUCCUCCCCAGCUUCUCUGUUUAAUACCCACACAGCUGUGUUGACAUUCUUCAGCACUGAGACACACGGUCACUGGACACUGCUCGUCCAAUGAUUCAAAUCCUUUUCAGGUUGGGAUCUCUUCAUUCUUGCUGCCUGGAAAUACUCUGAUCUUGCACGGUUUCUUUGUUUGCCAUUCCAUCAGCCUACGCUGUCUGCAAACUCUACCUGUAUCUUAUUUUAUUUCCAAGUACUCAGUUAAUAAAACUGCAUACAGUGUUAGUUAAAA